UUGAACGCUGGCGGCAGGCCUAACACAUGCAAGUCGAACGGUAACAGGAAGCAGCUUGCUGCUUUGCUGACGAGUGGCGGACGGGUGAGUAAUGUCUGGGAAACUGCCUGAUGGAGGGGGAUAACUACUGGAAACGGUAGCUAAUACCGCAUAACGUCGCAAGACCAAAGAGGGGGACCUUAGGGCCUCUUGCCAUCGGAUGUGCCCAGAUGGGAUUAGCUAGUAGGUGGGGUAACGGCUCACCUAGGCGACGAUCCCUAGCUGGUCUGAGAGGAUGACCAGCCACACUGGAACUGAGACACGGUCCAGACUCCUACGGGAGGCAGCAGUGGGGAAUAUUGCACAAUGGGCGCAAGCCUGAUGCAGCCAUGCCGCGUGUAUGAAGAAGGCCUUCGGGUUGUAAAGUACUUUCAGCGGGGAGGAAGGGAGUAAAGUUAAUACCUUUGCUCAUCGACGUUACCCGCAGAAGAAGCACCGGCUAACUCCGUG
rnacentral:rRNA from 1 species